GGCAAAUGGUACAGAAGAAACAGGUUGCAGUGAACCCACAUGUUGCCACUCUUCCCUGCAAAGUGGUGUGUUAUCAGUGGAAUUUCUGAAAUCCACUCUUUGCAUCCUGUGAUGGAACAGCAUCUGGAGCUGAAUUAUUCUCCAUUUUUGAUCAUAAGUUUUUUGGACUCACUUGGGGCCUUGUUGUUUGGACAUGUUUGUCUGGUAAUGAAGUGGUGAAAAUUCA